GUGCUCACUUCGGCAGCACAUACACUAAAAUUGGAAUGAUACAGAGAAGAUUAGCAUGGCCCCUGUGCAAGGAUGACACGCAAAUUAAAAUUUUAAAAAAAUAAAUU
rnacentral:snRNA from 1 species